GAUGAACGCUGGCGGCGUGCCUAAUACAUGCAAGUCGAGCGAACAGACGAGGAGCUUGCUCCUUUGACGUUAGCGGCGGACGGGUGAGUAACACGUAGGUAACCUACCUAUAAGACUGGGAUAACUUCGGGAAACCGGAGCUAACACCGGAUAAUAUUUCGAACCGCAUGGUUCUAUAGUGAAAGAUGGCUUUGCUAUCACUUAUAGAUGGACCUGCGCCGUAUUAGCUAGUUGGUAAGGUAACGGCUUACCAAGGCAACGAUACGUAGCCGACCUGAGAGGGUGAUCGGCCACACUGGAACUGAGACACGGUCCAGACUCCUACGGGAGGCAGCAGUAGGGAAUCUUGCGCAAUGGGCGAAAGCCUGACGGAGCAACGCCGCGUGAGUGAUGAAGGUCUUCGGAUCGUAAAACUCUGUUAUUAGGGAAGAACAAACGUGUAAGUAACUGUGCACGUCUUGACGGUACCUAAUCAGAAAGCCACGGCUAACUACGUG
rnacentral:rRNA from 1 species